GUUAUUUUUUCUCCUAUUUUUACAAUAAACUUUUGUCAGGGUGAACUUCCCCUUAAAGAAAAAAAAACAGCAAAUCUCAAUAAUCUGUCAAAAACGCAGGGAGUAGGUUUGAUGUUCAAAUACAUUUAUUACAUGUACCUGUGCAUCUUUCUCAUAAAAGUCGAAUUAAUAAACGGCAUGUUAAUACUGUUGCAAAUAUUUACAUCAUGCUAGUACUCCCAUCAUUUGUUGUUUUAGUGAUAAUCAUACACACAAUGAAAAGUGUGUAAAAUUGUGCCAUGUAACAUCAGUUACCACGAAAAUGCCCAUCUGCAUGCAAACUUUGCACUACUACAUCAACAUUUCAUGAAGGUUGAACAGGAAAUUCACUCCCAAAAAGGAGAAAAAUUGGAUAUAUCAUUCAGCACAUAACAAGAACUUUUCAUAAUUUGUGCAUUUAAGUCUUGCAUAAACUU